CAUGGAGGAAUUACAAUGGGAGGAGGAUGAAGAGAGCAGAGUCACAGAAAGAGCUAAGUUACUCCUCUACCUUUUCUGGCAUCAUUUUCUAGGAUGCUACCUACAGUUGAGGCCAGUUCUGUGUCUUCUUAUUCUUUCACACACACCUAAUACAACGCAGCUCCUGAGGAAGAGAAUCCGGAUGACACCAAGGGGAUGAUUGGCAUGAGCCUGGGCCCACCUCAGGAGUCUGCCGCUCCACCCUUCCAGCGCCCCCACAAGGCUGCAAAUGGUAUCGCCACUGCAGCCCUCAGGUAAAGGGUUUUUGGCACCAUACCGAAAAGGUUCAUUUCCCCCCAGGGCAGCACCAGCAAACACAUCAGCUACCUGGAGUGAUCAGGCAGGUCUGGGUAGCCACGGAGAACUUCAUAUUCCCUCUCUUGGCCACCGUCGCUGUGCACUCUCCUGUGGCCUAUGGAAAAAAAAAGAUUUAUCCUAAUCUUUCAGAUGAAAUCCACUUAGUACUAUUGCUAAAUAUGGCUUUCCUUUUUAAAAUCUUGUAAAGAUUUUUUUUCCUAAGCAGAGUUUUGAGGCACAAGAAUAAGUAUUUUUCAGCCAAAUCAUUAUUUUUUAAAAGUCACCAAUAUUCAUGAGAUAGAGGGGAGGCACUCUAAAUGACGAGAUUUUAAAGUAUGAAUCUUUGUUUUGAGCUCUGGAGAUAUUUCCUCUCCAUCAAGAUGCACACCAUGGCUGUGAAUCAGCCUGCUAAACUCCUUUUGAUUAACCUCUCAAUUUCAGUGUUCAAACUGCAUCCAGGAAGCCAGGGUUUUGACUUUGAAGAAAUGGCUCCCUGGAUUAUGAGGAGAUUGGCUUGGUUCCUGGCAGGCAGCAUCACAAUCUCCCUCAAUUAUUAUGGCCAGACCAGCAGCUGUGCUGUGCCAGGGCAGGGUAGGCAUUAGGUUAAGACCCCUUGUUAUUAAAACAAAAUCGUUUGCAUAAUGUGUCUCAUUUCUUCCUUCAACAACCUCAUGAAGUCAAUUUGAUCUCCCCUUGCAAGGGAGCACACUGGUUCCAAGUGAUCAGCUGGUUGAAGGUAGAGCAGGAUUGGUACUCAGGACGGCUCAGGUGAAGCAGCUACACUGUCCACUCACCAGCCCCAGGUCUCAGCCAAGUAUUGAUCUGUUGCCUCUCUGGGGCCUGGCCCACAUAUCCCUGUUGGGCACUAGAGUCCCCUUCCUGUUGGAGGGCUUUCUCCAUGUUUGACUCUGGCCUGCGGGCCUCUCUACGCCCCUUCCACCUAUGUGAGAAUACAGACAUCAAGCAUUUGACUGUUCUACACAGUUGAGGGUGUAUGUGCAUCCUAUAAAAGCAGCCAGCAAUGUUAAUCAUCUCCAGCACUGGUGCACAAGUCUGGCACGCUUGUCAGAGAAAAACGGAGCCUCAGGAACAGUCAACAUACUCACAGCUUGUGUAGAGUCCUUGUAGUCACAGUCCUGCCAAGUUUUGUUACUUUGAAAAGGACAGUCGCCCUCCUUGAUUUGGUACUUCAGGGAAUAAAAUAUGUCAGGAUUAUCCUGAAAAACAGCACAUGGAUAGGUAGGUCUCAUCUAAUGGACCCAAUAGCACAUCAUUUGAGAUCUGGUACAGUUAUGAACAUUUGACCUCUAUUUGAUUCAGUUAAGGCAAAAACAUUUAUUAAAAUAUUGGGAAAAUAUUGAAAGUUUAUAAAUAUUUGCUUGGAAGAAUUUGUAACAUACUAUUUACAAAUAUACAUAUAUUUAAGUUACAAAGUAGAUCCAUAGUAUUAGCCUAUUUUUGUAGAAACCAAUUUAUACAUAAACAUAUGAUUUUUAAAAGUCUGGAAAACUAUGCAAUGAAACUGUUAAAUAUGUGUCUU